GAAGGGGGCUAGCGUUGCUCGGAAUUACUGGGCGUAAAGGGCGCGUAGGCGGACAGUUUAGUCAGAGGUGAAAGCCCAGGGCUCAACCUUGGAAUUGCCUUUGAUACUGGCUGUCUUGAGUUCGGGAGAGGUGAGUGGAAUGCCGAGUGUAGAGGUGAAAUUCGUAGAUAUUCGGCGGAACACCAGUGGCGAAGGCGACUCACUGGCCCGAUACUGACGCUGAGGCGCGAAAGCGUGGGGAGCAAACAGGAUUAGAUACCCUGGUAGUCCACGCUGUAAACGAUGAGUGCUAGUUGUCGGCAUGCAUGCAUGUCGGUGACGCAGCUAACGCAUUAAGCACUCCGCCUGGGGAGUACGGUCGCAAGAUUA
rnacentral:rRNA from 1 species